UACGUAGGGGGGCAAGCGUUGUCCGGAUUUAUUGGGCGUAAAGAGCGUGUAGGCGGCUUUACAGGUCCGUUGUGAAAACUCGAGGCUCAACCUCGAGACGCCGAUGGAAACCGUCUGGCUAGAGUCCGGAAGAGGAGAGUGGAAUUCCUGGUGUAGCGGUGAAAUGCGCAGAUAUCAGGAAGAACACCCGUGGCUAAGGCGGCUCUCUAGUACGGUACUGACGCUGAAACGCGAAAGCGUGGGGAGCGAACAGG
rnacentral:rRNA from 1 species